GGGGAAUUUUCCGCAAUGGGCGAAAGCCUGACGGAGCAAUACCGCGUGAGGGAAGACGGCCUAUGGGUUGUAAACCUCUUUUCUCAGGGAGGAACUCAAUGACGUGUACCUGAGGAAUAAGCAUCGGCUAACUCCGUGCCAGCAGCCGCGGUAAGACGGAGGAUGCAAGUGUUAUCCGGAAUCACUGGGCGUAAAGCGUCUGUAGGUGGUUUAAUAAGUCAACUGUUAAAUCUUGAGGCUCAACUUCAAAAUCGCAGUCGAAACUAUUAGACUAGAGUAUAGUAGGGGUAAAGGGAAUUUCCAGUGGAGCGGUGAAAUGCGUAGAGAUUGGAAAGAACACCGAUGGCGAAGGCACUUUACUGGGCUAUUACUAACACUCAGAGACGAAAGCUAGGGUAGCAAAUGGGAUUAGAUACCCCAGUAGUC
rnacentral:rRNA from 1 species